GCCAACAGCUAGCAGGCUGGAAGUGUGGGGGUUUGUGAAGAUCAGAAGCCUCAAGCAGCAACCAGAACAGCAGCAGCUAAGACAACUGCAGCAGCAGCUUAAGAAGAUUCCGGAAAACAGUUACCCAGAAAAACAGCAGCAGAAUUCUAAAGGCCUGGCAACAACUUUUAUAGCAGUGCAAUCAGCAGCAACUGCCUGCGGCAACAGCCAACAGCUGCCGCUACGCCUGCAGCAGCAGCAACAACCAUCGUCUCCAGGUGCUGACACUAUCAUCUCCAGAUACUGACAGACCAGAAGGGCCCCUGAGACGAGUCAGAGGGAAUUAAGAAGAUAAAGUAAUUUCUACUUGUGUGGGUCAAUCCUUAAGCAGACGGCUGUAUCCGUGCUCUGGGGGGCCCCCUGCAGAAGAAGCCACAGAAGCACUGGAAGCAUUAUCCUGAGAGAAAAAGGAGAGAGAGAUUUUUGAGCAGAGUGCUGGCUGGAAAGGCAGGCCUGGAACUAUGGAAACAAUGCACCAGACCCUGAAAAUGGACUAACUGCCUGGAUCAAAAGAGAUAACAAUACAUUAUCUGGAAGAGGAAGUAAAGAGACUAUCAUGUUGAAGAUGAUACUGACUUUGGUUCUGCUCCUAUAAUUCACUAUAUACAGGCAUGCUGCUGCAUCUGCAAAGAGCCCUCAUUGAAGCCAUCAGGGCUUCAAGAGAGCAGAGCAGUGAACUGCAGGAUUGGCCCCUUAGUAUUGUCACUAGUAUUCAUUUUAUUACAAUAACAACUAAAAUAUGCGAGUGUUGUACAAAUCUAUAGGGAGAGAUAUAGUCCUUGUAACAAGGAGCUAAAUGAGGAGAUGUUCGUCAGUGAGAUAUGUCAAAUUGUGAGGUGAACAUCAUGAAGACUGAGCAAACAAAGAAAUCUAAAAAGGUCAGAAAUGUGGUCACAAAGUAAGAAUCAAUUUGAAAAAUUAACAACUCAUGUGGGGCAGGGGAUAACAAUUGUAAAAAAGACACACGGUUUUAAAUUUGCUAUUUGACUGCAAGGAUAGCACAGCCUGAUAAUGGCCUCUUGCAUUUUCACUUUUCCUCAGCAUGUGUUUAUAUCUGGAACAAAUGGGCUACAAUCCUGAUUAUGGGUUGUGGGCAUUACCAUAAUAUAAAUAAUAAUAUUCCCUAGAGACAGAAAGUGCUUUCAUGGAAGGGAGCUAUGUCAUGGAGCAGGGACAUGAUAGUCCCUCUUAGUAGACUCAAUAAUGUGGGGAAUGGACAACCUUCAAUUCCCAUUGCAUUGUAGAAGUACACCUAAAAUGCUGUUUAGUUCUCAGUACCUCAACACCAAAAGACAGAUAAGUGGGAGGGAUAUCAGAGAAAAGCAAUAAGUAAAAUUAGGGGGCUGCAGAGGCAUUGAAUAAUGAGGAAAAAGGAAAGGAACUAAAUAGAUGGGGGAUAGCGUUGCUGUCUAAAAAUAUUUAAGUCUGAACAAGGGAGAGUGGUUAGAGUGGUAAAUGGGGAUAUAAGUAAAAUAACUGGAUCAAUAGCUAAAUGAUAGGAAAAGUUAUCAAACAGAGAUGUGUGAGACUGUGGAAUAAAUGCCCAAGAAAGGUGCAUGAUUCCCCAUUACAUGAGACAUUUAGGGUCAGAUUCUGAUAACCUUAUUCAGAUUGAUUACCUUAUUUGGUGAGCAGUCACACCAAAAUCAAUUAGAGGAGUAAGCUACUACACAACUUGAAUAAAGAUAUCACAAUUUGGUCCAUAAAGACUGAUGAAAGCACUUUAAGAAACAACCUCCUUUUGGCAGGAGGCUGGACUAGCUGGGCAUACACAUUCUUCUCAUCUCCAGCAUCUUCCUUAUUAAUGGCAGAUUCUUUCUUGGAUUGAUUUUCCCCCACAUAAAGAUAAGAUAAGCAGUUUCUUUGCCUUUGUUUAUAAUGCUCUCAGAUUUGGAAAUAUAACAUACCUUUUAAAAAAUCAUGGGGGGGCAGCCCUAAUUUUAAAAUAGAGGUUUACUGAAUGUUACAUAUGCUGAAGAAAUUAACUCCAUCAUAUUUUGUUUCCUGCAUUAACAAUGUUAUUGUGUCCUUCACAUUAGAUUUCUACCCCACAUUUAGGCAUUAGCAGCUUGUUACUGUAUGUUCCCUACUAAUUUUGUCCUAUUCUCCAUUACAUCUUUAUAACUGAAACAGAAGCCAAACAUCAAAUUCACCUUCAUUGAUUAAGUCCAUUAAUUACAGCAAAAAAAAUAAUUAUUUAUUUAAAAGCACAAAUAGGAAUGCUUCUUGCUCAAUUAAUUCCUGCUGAUGAGCCAGCAGAGGGCGCAUGGGAAAAUGUUUUUGUGAAAAUUCAAUAGUAAUGGCUAUUUUUUUAUUUGUUUCCAUUGACUUCAGAGGAAAAACAACAGAAAAUGACUGCAAAGGGCUGGAGUAAGCAUGUUUGAGCAGAGCAGAGGAAAGCAGAAAAACAUUUUUCUAAACCAAUUUAUUUCAUAUUCUCUAAUUAUUUUUACUGAGAUAUUGAUUUAAAAGUACAGGUUGAGACAAGAGUGCAACAAUGUUGCCUGAAUAACUCUGGAGAGAAUUUUAAUCCCAUCUGUUUAAUCCACUAUUAUGAUGUUGGUAUCCAAAAUAUGUCUUAAUAUUUAUACAGUCUAGAUAUGAAACAAGAUGACAUUACUAAAGUGACAUUCAGUUAAGAACUAUGUGUCCUAUAUGAAAUACGAAUAGUAGUCCUUACUCUGGCCCUAAUCUGCUACAUAUAAUUCUUCUUUAAAAUGAAAAUUUAUACUCUAAUACAAUGACAGUAAAUAGCCACUGUUGAGAUAAAUAAUACACAAUUUUUAAAAAGCUCUUUGUGUUACCAAUUGUAAGAUUAUUUUUAUUACCAUUUGUGUUGUUUUAUUUACUUUUUGUAUUUCAUUCAGUUUGGAUAGUGAAACUUCAAUUUCACUUUCUGGUUUUCCUGCACUAGCGCAAUAUUAUUACUGAGAUUUCCAACACUCAAGGAAAUUUGAAAGGUCAACAAAAAUAGUUCUAAUGUAAACAUUAAUAUUUUCUUUGGAGAACUAGAGAAAAAAUAGAUUUUCUCUAAUUAUUGCAGUGUUCUAUUUCUAAUAUCAUAGUAUUGCCAAGCAUUUACAAUUAUGAGUCAGGCCCCAAAACAAUCCUGUUUUUUAUAAAACAAAAAGAACCCAGUAUUUACUUAGCUACUGGUUUUUGAACAAUUAGGGUUCACUUAGAAAAUGUUUUCAAGCUUCUCUUUGCAACCAUAAGGCCUACACAUUUUAAGUAAAAACUAAAGGUAAGAUGUUCACCUAUUCACAUGCUUCCCACAGGUAGGGCUUUAAGAAACACACCAUAUUUGCAAGAGUUGGCAACACUGCUUAUCAUCUUACAAAAUUUAAUGGUAGAAAUAUUUGGACUGAGGAUGCUGGAGGAGAGGUAAAUAUAGGUUAAGAAGGGGAAUUGACAAGUGAAGUAGUGUUGAUCAGGAAUUUUUCAACAGACAAUGCCCUUUUUGCAUAAUCAAUUUUUUGCCAAAAAAAUUUCCUGACAGAAAAUUAAAAUGACAGCUCAGUUUCACUUACAAGUGCCUUCCCUGCGUGUAGCCAGCAAGCCUAAUGAUUCUAUUUUGGUUCUCUUGAAACAGAAUUUUUCUGGAACUCCCUUCCCAUUAAAUUUUUGUCCCAAUUUGGGAUGGGUUUUUUUCCACCCCAAAAAUGUGAAAUUUUUCAUGAGAAUUUUCUGGCCAGCUCUAGAAUGGAGUGUUGACGGACUACUAAAUGACUUAACUGCCAGCUUAUUUCUUUGCUUUUUACAGUUUGCAGUGAUGGAAUAUGCAGACUGGUAACCUUAAACCAAAGCUGACUAAACUUUUUGGUGUGGGUAUUUCACAGCCCCAUUUCCUGGGCUAAAACCUGCAGACUUGCCCUCACCUAUGUCAACCUGUACAAACCUGUUCCCACUGUCCCCUCCACAAUAUGUUCUCCCUCCUGUAUUUCUGGUCCUCAUAGAGCUGUGGGGGGCUUAGGGGUGGCUCAAGGUGGAGGCCUGGGAAAGCAACAUUGUGGAGGAGCAACUUGGAAGAAAUUUGUGAGCAUAUAUGGAGCUGUAGGGGGCCUCAGGAUGUGCAUGUGAAUGAGGAUAUGGGGAAAGAGGAACAUGGGGAAGAGGGGGUAACAAGGUUAUAGUGGAGAGCACAGGGAAAACAGCAGACUUGAGCUAGGAGGGGCUUUUUGGAAGGAGCAGCUAUACUCUUAACAACUUAUACUGCUUUUUCCCCAUUCCUUUGAUCAGUGGUUCUUGCAGCUUUAAGUCCCACUAUUCUCCAAUCCUCUCCCAACAUGCCCCUGCUGUGUAUCCCUAUAUUCCCUAUUCAUUUCCCUGCAUCCUCAUCCCACUGCUUCAUGGCCCUUCACCUUUCCUUGGUUUCCUAUAGAGCUGCUGUAUGGUGCAUUAUGAGGCUUUGGAAGAAGCAUCAGAACAUCUGAGGAGCAAAGAGGUUGAUUAAGGAAGAAUGGGAGCAAAGGUAGUGACUGGGGAUAUGUGGGGGUAAAAGAUUUUUGGUGGGGGAACAAAACUGUGUAAGAGGGCUGAGGGAAUGUAGUGUUUCUGCAUCAAGGUAUCAAUACUUAAAGAGCUCCCUCAGUAUUACUGCUUUUACUCUACAACGGACCCAGGCAGUCAUGCUGUGGGAAGCCUAUGAUAUGCCAGUGCCUUUGUGAAGGGGAACCUGCCUCCCCCAGCAUUGUUGCCUCAGUGAAUAAGGUUAUAAACUCUGAUCCUCCAAGCCCCACUUUCAGGCUACUGCCUCACAUCCCUAGUCACUCUUUCUACAGCCUCAUCUCUUUCCCAUAGUCCAACCUUCCACCUUGACUCAGCAGAGAUAUGUCCAGAACACCACAGGAGCAUCAGGGACAGAGCAAGAUUAAAUUUUUUGACAAGCUAAGUUUUGAAGAAUGGAAAUGAUCAUUUCUGGUUUUCAGUGAUGUUUUUCCUCUAGUCUAGGAGGGGUGCUGACAGCAAUGGAAGUAGCUGAUAUAUCUGCAUAGUUCUGUUGGUUCAUCUUAGUGAAACUAAGAUUUCAUUUCUGCUUUAAAUGCAAAUUUCAAAGCAAAUUUAACUAUGGAGUUGCACAGUAAAUUAAUUCAUUCAGAGAAAUAACAUUGGUUUCCACAGCUAAAUUGUAUAGCAUAAUCAUUAUAGGCAGUAAAGAUCUAAAUUGAUACUUACUGCUGU